CGCACAAGCGGGGAGCAUGUGGUUUAAUUUGAAGCAACGGGAAGAACCUUACCAGGCCUUGACAUGCAGAGAACUUUCCAGAGAUGGAUUGGUGCCUUCGGGAACUCUGACACAGGUCUGCAUGGCUGUCGUCAGCUGUGUCGUGAGAUGUUGGGUUAAGUCCCGUAACGAGCGCAACCCUUGUCCUUAGUUACCAGCACGUUAAGGUGGGCACUCUAAGGAGACUGCCGGUGACAAACCGGAGGAAGGUGGGGAUGACGUCAAGUCAUCAUGGCCCUUACGGCCUGGGCUACACACGUGCUACAAUGGUCGGUACAAAGGGUUGCCAAGCCGCGAGGUGGAGCUAAUCCCAUAAAACCGAUCGUAGUCCGGAUCGCAGUCUGCAACUCGACUGCGUGAAGUCGGAAUCGCUAGUAAUCGUGAAUCAGAAUGUCACGGUGAAUACGUUCCCGGGCCUUGUACACACCGCCCGUCACACCAUGGGAGUGGGUUGCUCCAGAAGUAGCUAGUCUAACUUCGGGGGGACGGUUACCACGGAGUGAUUCAUGACUGGGGUGAAGUCGUAACAAGGUAGCCCGUAGGGGAAACCUUAAGU
rnacentral:rRNA from 1 species